UACGGGGGGGGCAAGCGUUGUUCGGAAUUACUGGGCGUAAAGGGCGCGUAGGCGGUUCGCUAAGUUGAAUGUGAAAACUCUGGGCUUAACCCAGAGCCUGCAUUCAAUACUGGCGGGCUAGAGUUCUGGAGGGGAUAGCGGAAUUCCUGGUGUAGCGGUGAAAUGCGUAGAUAUCUGGAGGAACACCGGUGGCGAAGGCGGCAUCCUGGACCAACACUGACGCUGAGGAGCGAAAGCCAGGGGAGCAAACGGG
rnacentral:rRNA from 1 species